ACCAUGCAGCAGAAAUCUUUGUGAAAGACAAGGGUAGUGAGAUGAUUCAAUAAUACCAUCUUACUACUCUGUCUUUUGCAUAGAUUUUUGGAUAUCAUCAA
rnacentral:pre_miRNA from 1 species